CCUACGGGUGGCUGCAGUGAGGAAUAUUGGUCAAUGGGCGCGAGCCUGAACCAGCCAAGUAGCGUGAAGGAUGACUGUCCUACGGGUUGUAAACUUCUUUUAUAAAGGAAUAAAGUGAGGCACGUGUGCCUGUUUGUAUGUACUUUAUGAAUAAGCAUCGGCUAACUCCGUGCCAGCAGCCGCGGUAAUACGGAGGAUCCGAGCGUUAUCCGGAUUUAUUGGGUUUAAAGGGAGCGUAGGUGGGUUGUUAAGUCAGUAGUGAAAGUUUGCGGCUCAACCGUAGAAUUGCAAUUGAUACUGGCAGCCUUGAGUAGAGGAGAGGUAUGCGGAAUUCGUGGUGUAGCGGUGAAAUGCAUAGAUAUCACGCAGAACUCCGAUUGCGAAGGCAGCCUAC
rnacentral:rRNA from 1 species